CUCUCGGCAACGGAUAUCUCGGCUCUCGCAUCGAUGAAGAACGUAGCGAAAUGCGAUACUUGGUGUGAAUUGCAGAAUCCCGUGAACCAUCGAGUUUUUGAACGCAAGUUGCGCCCGAAGCCUUUUUGGCCAGGGCACGUCUGCCUGGGCGUCACG
rnacentral:rRNA from 3 species